CUUAUACUCCCUCCUUCCGAAAAUACUUGUCAUCAAAAUGGAUAAAAAGAAAUGUAUCUCAAACUAAAAUACAUCUAGAUACAUCCCCUUUUAUUCAUUUUAAUGACAAGUAUUUCCGGACGGAGGGAGUAUCAC
rnacentral:pre_miRNA from 1 species